rnacentral:rRNA from 1 species
UACGUAGGGUGCAAGCGUUAAUCGGAAUUACUGGGCGUAAAGCGUUCGCAGGCGGUUAUGUAAGACAGAUGUGAAAUCCCCGGGCUCAACCUGGGAACUGCAUUUGUGACUGCAUAGCUAGAGUACGGUAGAGGGGGAUGGAAUUCCGCGUGUAGCAGUGAAAUGCGUAGAUAUGCGGAGGAACACCGAUGGCGAAGGCAAUCCCCUGGACCUGUACUGACGCUCAUGCACGAAAGCGUGGGGAGCAAACAGG